GUUUCCGUAGGUGGACCUGCGGAAGGAUCAUUG
rnacentral:rRNA from 1 species